rnacentral:ncRNA from 1 species
GCAAUAUCGGCUACCGACAGGGCGCCGACGGGCCCGCAUGACGAGGAAACCGGUGCGAAUCCGGUGCGGUCCCGCCACUGUGAUCGGGCAUGUCUUCACAGCCCGAGAGCCAGAUACUCACCGCCGGCGCUUCCUCGCU